GUUGUAUAGUCAAGUAAUUAAGUGCAUGUGGUGGAUGCCUUGGCAGUCAGAGGCGAUGAAAGACGUGAUAGCCUGCGAAAAGCUCCGGGGAGGCGGCAAAUAUCCUUUGAUCCGGAGAUGUCUGAAUGGGGGAACCCACCUACUUUAAGGUAGGUAUUGCAACAUGAAUACAUAGUGUUGCAAGGCGAACGAGGGGAAGUGAAACAUCUCAGUACCCUUAGGAAAAGAAAUCAAUUGAGAUUCCCUCAGUAGCGGCGAGCGAACGGGGAUCAGCCCAUUAAGUUAUGUGUGUUUUAGUGGAACGCUCUGGGAAGUGCGAACGUAGAGGGUGAUAUUCCCGUACACGAAAGGGCACACAUAAUGAUGACGAGUAGGGCGAGGCACGUGAAACCUUGUCUGAAUAUGGGGGGACCAUCCUCCAAGGCUAAAUACUCCUGACUGACCGAUAGUGAACCAGUACCGUGAGGGAAAGGCGAAAAGAACCCCUGUGAGGGGAGUGAAAUAGAUCCUGAAACCGCAUGCAUACAAGCAGUGGGAGCACCUUCGUGGUGUGACUGCGUACCUUUUGUAUAAUGGGUCAGCGACUUAUAUUCAGUAGCGAGGUUAACCGUAUAGGGGAGCCGUAGAGAAAUCGAGUCUUAAUAGGGCGUUUAGUUGCUGGGUAUAGACCCGAAACCAGGCGAUCUAUCCAUGAGCAGGUUGAAGGUUGGGUAACACUAACUGGAGGACCGAACCCACUGUCGUUGAAAAGCCAGGGGAUGACUUGUGGAUAGGGGUGAAAGGCUAAUCAAGCCUGGUGAUAGCUGGUUCUCCCCGAAAGCUAUUUAGGUAGCGCCUCGGACGAAUACCAUAGGGGGUAGAGCACUGUUUCGGCUAGGGGGUCAUCCCGACUUACCAAACCGAUGCAAACUCCGAAUACCUAUGAGUACUAUCCGGGAGACAGACUGCGGGUGCUAACGUCCGUAGUCAAGAGGAAAACAAUCCAGACCGCCAGCUAAGGCCCCAAAAUCAUAGUUAAGUGGGAAACGAUGUGGGAAGGCAUAGACAGCUAGGAGGUUGGCUUAGAAGCAGCCACCCUUUAAAGAAAGCGUAAUAGCUCACUAGUCGAGUCGGCCUGCGCGGAAGAUGUAACGGGGCUAAAACUAUGUGCCGAAGCUGCGGAUNNNNNNNNNNNNNNNNNNNNNNNNNNNNNNNNNNNNNNNNNUUGACAUUAGUCAAGUGGUAGGGGAGCGUUCUGUAAGCCGAUGAAGGUGUAUUGAGAAGUAUGCUGGAGGUAUCAGAAGUGCGAAUGCUGACGUGAGUAACGACAAAACGGGUGAAAAACCCGUUCGCCGAAAGACCAAGGGUUCCAGUCCAACGUUAANGUAUACUUUGUAUACGUGGUAGGGGAGCGUUCUGUAAGCCGAUGAAGGUGUGUUGAGAAGCAUGCUGGAGGUAUCAGAAGUGCGAAUGCUGACGUGAGUAACGACAAAACGGGUGAAAAACCCGUUCGCCGAAAGACCAAGGGUUCCAGUCCAACGUUAANUCGGGGCUGGGUGAGUCGACCCCUAAGGCGAGGCCGAAAGGCGUAGUCGAUGGGAAAAUGGUUAAUAUUCCAUUACUUCUGUGUAAUGCGAUGAGAGGACGGAGAAGGCUAAAUCAGCCUGGCGUUGGUUGUCCAGGUGAAAGGAUGUAGGCAUGUAUCUUAGGCAAAUCCGGGGUACUCUAUGCUGAGAUCUGAUAGCAAGCUGUACUUGUACAGCGAAGUGGUUGAUGCCAUGCUUCCAGGAAAAGUCUCUAAGCUUCAGUUACACAGGAAUCGUACCCGAAACCGACACAGGUGGUCAGGUCGAGUAGACCAAGGCGCUUGAGAGAACUCUGCUGAAGGAACUAGGCAAAAUGGUACCGUAACUUCGGGAGAAGGUACGCUGUUGUUGGUGAUGGAACUCGCUUCCUGAGCUGACGACAGCCGCAGAAACCAGGCCGCUGCAACUGUUUAUUAAAAACAUAGCACUCUGCAAACACGAAAGUGGACGUAUAGGGUGUGAUGCCUGCCCGGUGCUGGAAGGUUAAUUGAUGGGGUUAGCGUAAGCGAAGCUCUUGAUCGAAGCCCCAGUAAACGGCGGCCGUAACUAUAACGGUCCUAAGGUAGCGAAAUUCCUUGUCGGGUAAGUUCCGACCUGCACGAAUGGCAUAAUGAUGGCGGCGCUGUCUCCAGCAGAGGCUCAGUGAAAUCGAAAUCGCUGUGAAGAUGCAGUGUACCCGCGGCUAGACGGAAAGACCCCGUGAACCUUUACUGCAGCUUGACACUGAACUUUGACCUUACUUGUGUAGGAUAGGUGGGAGGCUUUGAAGCUGGAACGCUAGUUCCAGUGGAGCCGUCCUUGAAAUACCACCCUGGUAAUGUUGAGGUUCUAACUCUGUCCCGUGAUCCGGGACGAGGACCGUGUCUGGUGGGUAGUUUGACUGGGGCGGUCUCCUCCUAAAGAGUAACGGAGGAGUACGAAGGUGCGCUCAGCGUGGUCGGAAAUCACGCGUAGAGUAUAAAGGCAAAAGCGCGCUUAACUGCGAGACCCACAAGUCGAGCAGGUACGAAAGUAGGUCUUAGUGAUCCGGUGGUUCUGUAUGGAAGGGCCAUCGCUCAACGGAUAAAAGGUACUCUGGGGAUAACAGGCUGAUACCGCCCAAGAGUUCAUAUCGACGGCGGUGUUUGGCACCUCGAUGUCGGCUCAUCUCAUCCUGGGGCUGAAGCAGGUCCCAAGGGUAUGGCUGUUCGCCAUUUAAAGAGGUACGCGAGCUGGGUUUAGAACGUCGUGAGACAGUUCGGUCCCUAUCUACCGUGGGCGCUGGAAAUUUGAGAGGAUCUGCUCCUAGUACGAGAGGACCAGAGUGGACGAACCUCUGGUGUACCGGUUGUGACGCCAGUCGCAUCGCCGGGUAGCUAUGUUCGGAAGGGAUAACCGCUGAAAGCAUCUAAGCGGGAAGCCUACCUCAAGAUAAGAUUUCCCUAGGACUUUAUGUCCUCUAAAGAGCCGUUCGAGACUAGGACGUUGAUAGGUUGGAUGUGGAAGCAUAGUGAUAUGUGAAGCUGACCAAUACUAAUUGCUCGUGAGGCUUGACUAUACAACACCCAAGCAGUUG
rnacentral:rRNA from 1 species